rnacentral:lncRNA from 1 species
AGCCUAAGCGGCCCUUGGGGACCAUGUUGUGUCUGGUUCCACAGAUACCCUGAACAUUCAAGUUUGCAGUGAGAAAACUUAAUUCGGGAUGACAAAAGCAUUUGGCCAUCUCUAUGCUGUCUUUGCAGUCUUCCUACCACAUACCACGUGGACAGUGAUGCUCCACCUAAAAAUGGAUUUUAAGGAGAGCUCAGCAGUGUUUCUAGUGAGUAGAAAGGCGAACUUCUUUCCUUAGAGGUCUUCGAGUUACUCACUAUUUCUUUUUAGGGCCUGACACAGUGCCUUGCACUUUGUAGGGGCUCCUUAAAUGCUCAGGAAAAUGAAUGUGUGAAUGAAUGAAUAAAGGAAUGUGUGAUCGUGCA